rnacentral:rRNA from 1 species
UAGGGAAUCUUCCACAAUGGACGCAAGUCUGAUGGAGCAACGCCGCGUGAGUGAAGAAGGUUUUCGGAUCGUAAAGCUCUGUUGUUGGUGAAGAAGGAUAGAGGCAGUAACUGGUCUUUAUUUGACGGUAAUCAACCAGAAAGUCACGGCUAACUACGUGCCAGCAGCCGCGGUAAUACGUAGGUGGCAAGCGUUGUCCGGAUUUAUUGGGCGGAAAGCGAGCGCAGGCGGAAUGAUAAGUCUGAUGUGAAAGCCCACGGCUCAACCGUGGAACUGCAUCGGAAACUGUCAGUCUUGAGUGCAGAAGAGGAGAGUGGAAUUCCAUGUGUAGCGGUGGAAUGCGUAGAUAUAUGGAAGAACACCAGUGGCGAAGGCGGCUCUCUGGUCUGCAACUGACGCUGAGGCUCGAAAGCAUGGGUAGCGAACAGG